CUGACGCUGCCUGGCGCUGGAACCAGGAAGGCGCUGAGCUUAAACUGAAGCAAGUUCUGAGGACGCCGGUGGCGCCGCGGUUAGAAGAGGGGGUUCCAGGUCCCCGCGCCCGGAGGUGCGAGCCCGAAGGUCGACCCAGAAAUGGGGCGCCGGUCAUCAGACACCGAGGAAGAAAGCAGAAGCAAGAGGAAAAAGAAACACCGCAGGCGCCCCUCUUCCAGCAGCUCUUCAGACAGCAGGACCUACAGCCGCAGGAAGGGCGGGAGGAGGCCCAGGUCCGAGUCCAGGUCCUGCUCUAGGGACCGGCAGCCUCGCUCACACUCUUAUGAGAGAAGACGCAGGCACAGGUCAAGCAGCGGCUCUUCGUAUGGCUCCCGAAGAAAACGAAGUGGAAGUCGCUCCCGGGGUCGAGGGAAAUCCUAUAGAGUUCAGAGGUCUCGCUCCAAAAGCAGAACAAGAAGGUCCAGGUCAAGACCUCGUCCACGUUCCCAUAGUCGAAGCAGUGAAAGAUCCAGCCACAGAAGAACUCGUAGUAGGUCUAGGGACCGAGAACGACGCAAAGCACGGGACAAAGAGAAGAGAGACAAGGAGAAGGAUAAAGGCAAGGACAAAGAAGUACAUGGCAUCAAACGGGGGGAAUCUGGAAACAUCAAAGCUGGAUUAGAACAUCUGCCUCCAGCUGAGCAGGCAAAAGCCAGACUACAAAUGGUCCUUGAAGCUGCUGCAAAAGCUGAUGAAGCGUUAAAGGCUAAAGAAAGGAAUGAGGAAGAAGCAAAGAGAAGAAAAGAGGAAGACCAAGUCACCCUGGUGGAACAAGUGAAAAGAGUGAAAGAAAUUGAAGCCAUCGAAAGUGAUUCUUUUGUUCAGCAGACAUUCAGAUCAAGUAAGGAAGUCAAAAAAGUAAUCGGUAGAACCAAGCGAAGUGAAACAUGCGCCUCCAGCAUCAGGACCAGCAUCAGGACCAGCAUCAGGAACUGCGGAGCCACCCAGCACUGGAAAGGAAAUAGACCCUGACAGCAUCCCCACGGCUAUCAAGUAUCAAGAUGACAAUUCUCUAGCUCAUCCAAAUUUGUUUAUUGAGAAAGCCGAAGCUGAAGAGAAGUGGUUCCGGAGAUUAAUUGCCCUCCGACAAGAAAGACUCAUGGGCAGUCCUGUGGCCUGAGAAGAGACUUCCGGUUACGUUGACAACGCCUUGAAAAUUGAGGGUUUUAAAUACUAAUGUUAACUUUUACUCCUAAAUAUAACUUAGCCAACUGCAUAGAAAGCAAAUCUCAUUUCUUCCUUCAUGUUCAACUGAGUAUUUGCUGUUUCAAAUCAAACAUUGUGAAUAGUAGAUCUGUUAUAAAAGGUGUGAGUGUGUGAACAUAUUAUCUUGUUAAUAAAACUAAUCAUAAAAAUGUCAA